GAUGAACGCUGGCGGCGUGCCUAAUACAUGCAAGUCGAACGGAAGGACGCUGCUUUUGCUGCGUUCACGUGUGCCGAACGCGUGAGUGACACAUGAGUAUAACCCACUUGUCUGACUGAUAACUCUACGAAACACGGGCUAUUACCCCGUAUGAGCUUCUGCUGCGUGGGGUGGGUUAGUAAGUUUCGGCGGUGCGGGAUGGUUUCGCGGCUUAUCAGCUUGUUUGUGUAGUAGUGGCGUUCAAGGGUUUUGACGGCUAGCACACCUGAGAGGGUGACCGGCGACAUUGCGACUGAGGUACGGCCCAGACGGCUACGGGACGCAGUGGUGGGGAGUAUUGCACAAUGAGGGGAAGCCUGAUGCAGCAACGCUGCGUGCGGGAUGCCGUCCUUCGGGUUGAGAACCGCUUUCGCAUGUGAUGAAGCGUGAGUGACGGUACCGGAUAAAGAAGCACCGGCUAACUACGUG
rnacentral:rRNA from 1 species